CUUUGUUAUUAAACUGUUUUGUGUGAGCAACCGUUCAAUUGCUAGUAAUUCUCUAAGUGGUUUAUUUAAGUUGCAACCGCAUCUUACUUCUAAACGGGUUAAAAAUAGGAUGCUACGUGUACCUACAAAAAACAGACAUGACGGUUUCAGGUCUUGGAGAUAGAUGACCGCUGCGAGAUUUAUGAGACGAGAAUAAUGUUUUGGUGGAGUUUCAGUGAAUUUUGGCUCUUUGAUGAACAAAUUUAGAUAUGAUUAUUACUGCACACCCAGCAUCACCCAGCUUGAACAGCAUACUCUUGCUGUACUACUGUACAAGUGUGGUCCAAAAGUAUAAAUCCAAUUUUUUUCUGACACAACUAACACAGAAGCAGAAGAUUCUUCAAACUUCAUUUCAAAGUCACAGGUCACUUUGAUCAGAAGUUUAAUUGAACUCAAGGUAUAAAAACAAUGUAAAAAUUGUUUAGAUGUUAGAAUAAACAUUUUUCUUGACUAGAAACCGUUCAUAUUUUUUACAACAAAGACUUGGAU